UACGAAGGGGGGCGAGCGUUGUUCGGAUUUACUGGGCGUAAAGGGCGCGUAGGCGGCCCUCCUUGUCGCGUGUGAAAGCCCCGGGCUCAACCUGGGAACUGCCUUGUGACUGCAUAGCUAGAGUACGGUAGAGGGGGAUGGAAUUCCGCGUGUAGCAGUGAAAUGCGUAGAUAUGCGGAGGAACACCGAUGGCGAAGGCAAUCCCCUGGGCCUGCACUGACGCUCAUGCACGAAAGCGUGG
rnacentral:rRNA from 1 species